GGGGCAGCAUGGUCUUAGCUUGCUAAGGCCGAUGGCGACCGGCGCACGGGUGAGUAACACGUAUCCAACCUGCCGUCUACUCUUGGACAGCCUUCUGAAAGGAAGAUUAAUACAAGAUGGCAUCAUGAGUCCGCAUGUUCACAUGAUUAAAGGUAUUCCGGUAGACGAUGGGGAUGCGUUCCAUUAGAUAGUAGGCGGGGUAACGGCCCACCUAGUCUUCGAUGGAUAGGGGUUCUGAGAGGAAGGUCCCCCACAUUGGAACUGAGACACGGACCAAACUCCUACGGAAGGCAGCAGUGAGGAAUAUUGGUCAAUGGCCGAGAGGCUGAACCAGCCAAGUCGCGUGAGGGAUGAAGGUUCUAUGGAUCGUAAACCUCUUUUAUAAGGGAAUAAAGUGCGGGACGUGUCCCGUUUUGUAUGUACCUUAUGAAUAAGGAUCGGCUAACUCCGUGCCAGCAGCCGCGGUAAUACGGAGGAUCCGAGCGUUAUCCGGAUUUAUUGGGUUUAAAGGGAGCGUAGAUGGAUGUUUAAGUCAGUUGUGAAAGUUUGCGGCUCAACCGUAAAAUUGCAGUUGAUACUGGAUAUCUUGAGUGCAGUUGAGGCAGGCGGAAUUCGUGGUGUAGCGGUGAAAUGCUUAGAUAUCACGAAGAACUCCGAUUGCGAAG
rnacentral:rRNA from 1 species